GUAAUGAUGGCCAGGCUGUCUCCACCCGAGACUCAGUGAAAUUGAACUCGCUGUGAAGAUGCAGUGUACCCGCGGCAAGACGGAAAGACCCCGUGAACCUUUACUAUAGCUUGACACUGAACAUUGAGCCUUGAUGUGUAGGAUAGGUGGGAGGCUUUGAAGUGUAGACGCCAGUCUGCAUGGAGCCGACCUUGAAAUACCACCCUUUAAUGUUUGAUGUUCUAACGUUGACCCGUAAUCCGGGUUGCGGACAGUGUCUGGUGGGUAGUUUGACUGGGGCGGUCUCCUCCUAAAGAGUAACGGAGGAGCACGAAGGUUGGCUAAUCCUGGUCGGACAUCAGGAGGUUAGUGCAAUGGCAUAAGCCAGCUUGACUGCGAGCGUGACGGCGCGAGCAGGUGCGAAAGCAGGUCAUAGUGAUCCGGUGGUUCUGAAUGGAAGGGCCAUCGCUCAACGGAUAAAAGGUACUCCGGGGAUAACAGGCUGAUACCGCCCAAGAGUUCAUAUCGACGGCGGUGUUUGGCACCUCGAUGUCGGCUCAUCACAUCCUGGGGCUGAAGUAGGUCCCAAGGGUAUGGCUGUUCGCCAUUUAAAGUGGUACGCGAGCUGGGUUUAGAACGUCGUGAGACAGUUCGGUCCCUAUCUGCCGUGGGCGCUGGAGAACUGAGGGGGGCUGCUCCUAGUACGAGAGGACCGGAGUGGACGCAUCACUGGUGUUCGGGUUGUCAUGCCAAUGGCACUGCCCGGUAGCUAAAUGCGGAAGAGAUAAGUGCUGAAAGCAUCUAAGCACGAAACUUGCCCCGAGAUGAGUUCUCCCUGACUCCUUGAGAGUCCUGAAG
rnacentral:rRNA from 1 species